CUCCCCCACUCCACCCCCCACUCCCCAAAAGCAUACUCUGGCUGGGUUAUCUUGGGUUUGGAGAUCCUUUCUCUUGGGAAGUGGGAGGGGGCUGAAUUUGGUCCCUACUGAGUGACUCAAAAUGAGGGUGGGUAAGGACGAUUAAGUCCAAACAACUAACUCUGACCCUCAUUUCUCUUUGCCCCCUCCCCAGGUUUGGGUAUCCGGACCCAACCUACCUGACUAGGGUGCAAGAGGAACUGAGAGCCAAGGGUAUUACAGACGACUGAAGUAUGGCUCCUUUGCCAAGGCCCCCCCCCGCUGUCCUCUACUAGGAUCCAACGGAAGCCUCUGCUCCUCUCUUGCUGCCCCCACAUCACCCAUGAGGGGAUAUGUCUGACUGGGAUGGGAGCCCAGAGGGGAAGGGGAUGUUCCUUCCCCUGCCCGCCACUGGCCAAGUGCUUCAGUGCCCUUUGAGCCACUCCCCUCUAGCAGAGGCUGGUUUCCAAGGUUCCCCUCCCUGCACUCGGUGUACAUAGUCUCUCUGCCCCUGCUUCUCCAGUGUCCUUGGCUUUUCCUGGUAUGUACCGUGCUCCAGUGACUAAGCUGAGAAAGGACCUGGGUAGGAAGGAUGGGGUCUCUUGAACUCUAGUCCCUGAAUACUGUCUCACCUUGGACUGAUAUUAGCUGCCUCCCCCAGCCAGCUGUGUGUUAAGAUAACAGUAGUCCUACCUUAACGGAUCCUUUCUCUCCUGUGUCUGUCUCUGUCAGUCUGUCUUUCUCUCGCUCUUCUCUGCCCCUAUAAGGAGCCUCCUCACCCCCUGAUCUGGAAUUGCUGCCAGACUGUAGCUUUUAAUUUAAUAAAAAUAAAGUGAAAUAUGCAACUCU
rnacentral:lncRNA from 1 species